GUUUGUUAACAAGAGAGUAGGAGCUUCAUUUGUUAAAUGUGAAAGCUUGCAUAAUUAUAUAUAAAUUCCCAUGCUACAACUACUAGAGCUUGCCUCUGGUUAUAUAAGUGAGCUGAGAAGGCUCAGGAGCAGGAGAUCCUUCAUUUAAAGUGGAGUUUUUUCUCUGGGGUUGAGUUUUAUGCCACCACCACCAGAUCACAGUACUGUGCCGCCAGUUGUGAUGAUGGCAUGAAAGAAGAUACACUGUUUACGAGAUCAACUGCAUUGA